GAUGAAGAACGCAGCGAAAUGCGAUAAGUAAUGUGAAUUGCAGAAUUCAGUGAAUCAUCGAAUCUUUGAACGCACAUUGCGCCCGCUAGUACUCUAGCGGGCAUGCCUGUUCGAGCGUCAUUUCAACCCUCAAGCCCUGCUUGGUGUUGGGGCCCUACGGCUGCCGUAGGCCCUGAAAGGAAGUGGCGGGCUCGCUACAACUCCGAGCGUAGUAAUUCAUUAUCUCGCUUAGGGUGUUGUGCGGUGCUCCAGCCGUUAAAGACCAUCUUUAACUCAAGGUUGACCUCGGAUCAGGUAGGAAUACCCGCUGAACUUAAGCAUAUCAAUAAGCUGAGGA
rnacentral:misc_RNA from 1 species